rnacentral:rRNA from 2 species
GAUCAUUGUCGAAACCUACCCGCCAGAAUGACCCGCGAAC